rnacentral:misc_RNA from 1 species
CCGAACGGUCGGCAGGCGAUCCGCGUCGGUCGCGCUGGGUGGUAUGGUUCCCCAGAGGCCGGUUCUUGUGCUGCCUACCCCUUCAGGGGAAGAGUUCCAAACUCGAUGUAAGCCUCCAUCCGGCGCCCUCCAAAGGGCGCGGGAGGACAACGGAGCACCCCCCGCGUUCCACCGAGCCUCCUCGGUCGCGUGGCCCGCGGGGACGUGCGAUGCUCUCGGACCCAGCGAACGCCGUGGGCGAGGACUCACGUCCCGGUCCCUAGUGAAGCAACGGUAUAACGCACGACGGCCGCUCCCGCCCCCCGACCGCCCCGGCGGCGUGGGGGCGAAGGCGCGGCGUCGCUGA